rnacentral:rRNA from 1 species
GGAAGGGGUGUAUUUAUUAGAUAAAAAACCAAUGCCCUUCGGGGCUCCUUGGUGAUUCAUAAUAACUUAACGAAUCGCAUGGCCUUGCGCCGGCGAUGGUUCAUUCAAAUUUCUGCCCUAUCAACUUUCGAUGGUAGGAUAGUGGCCUACCAUGGUUUCAACGGGUAACGGGGAAUUAGGGUUCUAUUCCGGAGAGGGAGCCUGAGAAACGGCUACCACAUCCAAGGAAGGCAGCAGGCGCGCAAAUUACCCAAUCCCGACACGGGGAGGUAGUGACAAUAAAUACUGAUACAGGGCUCUUUUGGGUCUUGUAAUUGGAAUGAGUACAAUUUAAAUCCCUUAACGAGGAACAAUUGGAGGGCAAGUCUGGUGCCAGCAGCCGCGGUAAUUCCAGCUCCAAUAGCGUAUAUUAAAGUUGUUGCAGUUAAAAAGCUCGUAGUUGAACCUUGGGCCUGGCUGGCCGGUCCGCCUCACCGCGUGCACUGGUCCGGCCGGGCCUUUCCUUCUGGGGAGCCGCAUGCCCUUCACUGGGUGUGUCGGGGAACCAGGACUUUUACUUUGAAAAAAUUAGAGUGUUCAAAGCAGGCCUAUGCUCGAAUACAUUAGCAUGGAAUAAUAGAAUAGGACGUGUGGUUCUAUUUUGUUGGUUUCUAG